GAGCGAAGAAAUGUCUUUUGAAGAGAAAAUUCAUACACAAGUAGGGGAAAUAUAAUGCGAUAUAAUUUGAAAGAUGGAUACAAUACAAUAAAUAUAUCAAAUAAACUCAUACUUUAUUAUUCUCUUUUUUUAUAUUAUAAUCCCAAAUUUGAAAAAGGACUUAGCGCACAAGGCUCCAAAAAACACAGCUUCAAAAUGGUAAGGAAACAAAACCAAAUUAUUUAGAAACGUGCCAACAUCCAAACAAAACUUUGCUUGGUCGGUUCAUUAUUUCUCACUAAGCGGACGGCAUCAGAUUUAACAAUAUAUGCGCGUAUCUGAUUACAUCGUUUCCUGGAGGCUCCUCUGUAUGCUCUCCAUAUGUCAAUAAAAUGAUUGCCAUCCCUUAGAUAACAGUGCCAUACUAUCCUAUCGCCGCUGCCUCUCUCCCUAACCGGGAAGUUGUAUUUACCAUUGAAUUUUAUUUCUUGAACACUUAUAGUUUCCUUUUUGUUCGAUGUGCAGUUGACUUUGACACUACGAGGAGGUUCAAGUUGGUUUUGAAAUUCCACCAGAUUGCAUCCGGAAGUUCUUUUCGAACUAAAACACAUAACAGUUAUUAACAUAAAAGUAAUGAGAUUAUUCAUCUUUUUUUUUUUUUUUGAAGAUGCUAGAGACCCAAAGCGUAUUAUGUAUAGUUUCUUUUGUGAUGAAUAAGGUACGAAGCUAAAUAUAGACACAAAUAUUACUCGAUUAAAGUUAUGGUUGGAGGAGCAUUCGCAGUCGAAAAGUAAGGUAAAACCAUAAGAUAAGAUCAAAUAAAUUUAAAUUGCAAAUUAACGUUGACCACUAAAACUAAAGAAACAUGAGUCUGAAAAUAGGUUCUACAUUUUACCCAAAAAAAAACAAACAAUUGAAAUAUAAAACUGAAGAACCUGUACAGAAAAAACAAGAGAGUAACAUCAGGUUGAGAUAAGCAUCCAAAUAAUCAAAAUCGAAACCUUACCCUGGAGUGAAAAAGAGAGGGUUUAGGAGGAGUUUAAAGAAUCCAAAGGAUGCCACUCAGCGAGAUGAAUAUCAUUACAACUGCAUUCUAAAUACAACAUGUCUCUCAUUUAUAUAAAUUUGAUCUUAGUUCUCCUUCUUCAGGAGUAGCAAACUGCAUAGCCAAUAAGGUGACGAUGAAUAUAAAAUGCUUCUGCAGAUAAAAAAAAAAAGGAGUCAAAUUUCUGAUUAAAUUCGCUGAGAUUCUCAUUAAAGUUAAAAACUUUAUGGGUUAUGAUUAGCGAGUAAACACGAAUCGAAAUCCAAUACACUACUACAUUGGGGCGAAAGAACCCUAAUUUGGAAAUCGAUGGCAGCAGAAAGAGAAACCCAAAUGGGAAUAAAGGAGGAGAGAAGCUUACAUUUCGAUCGGAGAAGACGAUGGACUCUUUCUCUCUCUCUCUCAGAGUCGUGCGUGAGAGAUUUGAUUAGAGAUUAGAUUAGACACAUAAGAAGAAGAAGAAGAGGGCUUUGAUUCUUCUCUCUCUGCCCUUUUGUUUCCUUUUUUUAAAAUAUUUUUUUCUAAAUACUAAAAAUGUUUUUUAUCAGUUUCAGGAAAGAAUCUAAUUUUUUUUAUAAAUAUUAGACUAAUUAAAAUACCAAAUCAAUGGGUGGGGGGGGGAGAAGUUGAAUUGUCGUCUCUCAUUAUCCCUGGCGGCGAGAGCACCACCAUGGCCAAACUCGCCGAGUACCAUAACCUGGUCCCCUCUCAAUCUCUCUCUCUCUCUAGUCUUUUUUUUUUUUUGUAAUUCAAUUGUGUAGAAAUAGUUUUUAUUGUGAAACUAGGAAAGUUUCCUUUUUUAUGUGUUGAGGAGAAUCUUGUUUUUUUUUUUUUUUGUGUUCUCCAAAAAGAUUGGCUUUGAGAUUGAUAAAGGAUAAACUUUUUGGUAUUAAGUUUUUUUUUUUUUUUUGAAACUAACUUUUUGGGAUUAAGUUUCAUUUAACAAAAGCAUAUGCAGAGAACAACCUUGAUUUACCUUUAGUGGGUCUUGAGGACAAAACAUUGUGUGAGUGAGUCUCCUCUUCUGAGUUCUAAUUGUCUUUCAUUUUGUUUAUUUCAAGUUCCCGGCUCUACGUGAGUUUGUUAAGACAGGGAAACCUGUUUGGGGGACAUGCGCUGGUCUUAUAUUCCUAGCAGACAGAGCAGUUGGUGAGUAACCUUCCUAUCAAUUAAGGAUUCAAGUUAUUAAUAAACACUACUUAUAAAGUGUUGAAAACUUUCAGGUCAGAAAGAGGGAGGUCAGGAACUAGUCGGUGGCCUUGAUUGCACUGUCCAUAGAAACUUCUUUGGCAGCCAGGUAACAAAUAUUAUCUCAAAAGAUAUGCAAAUAUUAAAUCAAAGUUUUUUUUUCUGAUGUGUAGAUUCAAAGCUUUGAAGCUGAUAUCUCAGUGCCUCUUCUAACAUCCAAAGAAGGUGGAGCUGUGACGUUCCGUGGAGUGUUCAUACGUGCUCCAGCCGUUCUAGAUGUCGGCCCUGAUGUCGUAGUCUUGGCUCAUUGCCCCGUCCCUUCGAACAAGGUCUUGUAUUCAAGCUCUACUGUACAAAUCCAAGAGGAAGAUGCUCUUCCGGAAACGAAGGUCAUUGUUGCUGUGAAGCAAAGAAACUUGUUAGCAACUGCGUUUCAUCCAGAGUUAACCGCAGACACGCGAUGGUAAUUAGUUGAUUCUUUGUUCCUCUCUCUUUUGGUUUUAUUCAGCGGUUUUCACUUUUUCUGCUCCAUUUUUUUUAUCUACAGGCACAGUUAUUUCAUGAAGAUGACGAAAGAGAUGGAACAAGGAGGUUCUUCAAGCAGUAGUAGUAGCACUAUUGUUUCUGUUGGAGAGACCAGUGUUGGUACCGAGCUAGCUAAGCCUGAUAUUCCUAUAUAUCUCAGUAACUAAAAUAGAGAGAAGACACUUAAUUCUCUUGAAAUAAAAAAAAAAACUAUAGAAAAGUGUCGGAUUCUUUUGAUGUUUUUGGAAAUAAAAAUGCAAAGCUGGUUUGCAUCUAGCACACAAGAAAGUUUCACAGGGAGUCCAUGUACUUGUUUUCUAGAUACUACAUUGUAUACCGUUGAAUCAAAGCCGGUUUCCUUGGUUCAAUUUUGUUUGUGACUCACUGCCUUGUAUAUUCUUCUGACAGAACAGAACAGGACUUUGAUAAUAUAAAUCCAGUUUGGUUAUUGGUUCAAGAGUUAAGAAGCUAAACUGGUUUAUAGUAAAUUAGUCAAAUGUUUUAGCGCGUUUGAGAUUUCUUUGGUGUAUAGAAAAGGUGCAAGCUUGUAAUAAUGGGCGGCUUGUGGACCAAUGAAAGUGAGUUUCUUAAAAUGCACACAUAUACAGACAUGAAGGGCUUUCUUCUUCGUUCAAGACAUCUUCAUGUUCUAGCUAGCUCGUUUCUUGCUCAUAAAGGCAUUGGAGAACAAACAUUAGAUUCUUUUUCAUAAAAGUUUAUAGAGAAAUAUAUGCAGAUUCCUUUAUAUAAUGAUUUCUUAAUAUUGAAUUUAAACAAAAAUAUAGAAGUAAUUUGAAAUAUGUUAAUUUGAAAUAUGUUUUGAUGAUGAAGCUUAAAUAAAUGGGUAAAGAGAAUGUGAAUUAAUAAAUAUGCAUGUUUUUAAAUAAAGAUUAACUAACUCUUCUAGCUAAUAGAUUUGAUGCUGAAGCUUCACCAAGUAGACUUUUUGACUUGAGAUAAACCCAAAGAGUCAUCUUCUUUCUUACUAUGAAGCAAGGGAUAUAAUCAUCAUAUGAAGUUUUAAGAAAACAUCUUGAGAGACUAAAGAAGAAGCCAAAGAAGAAGACUUGUACCUGAGUGAUGAAGCGCAGAAAGUCAUAUGUGAUUGUUGCUCUCUUCGGAUUGCUUCUCUUGACCGAAAUUGUCAUUGCUGAGAGCGAUGGGGGCAAAGGCAACGGUAAUAACGGCAAGGGGAAUGAGGGAAAAGUAGAAAAGCGUAAAGGAGGAGAUGAUGUCAAGGGCAAAGGUAAUGGUAACGGUCCAAAGGACAAAGACAAGAACAAGAAUGACCAGGGCAAGAAGGACAAGGACAAGAAAGGAAGGAUAAGGAGAAAGACAAGGAGCAGAGUGAAGCAGCUGCUAGUAGAUACAUGAUGCUUUCACCUUUUCCCACAGGACAAGAACAGACCAUGUGCCAGGGUCAGGGUGCAUGUUAUUACAAAAAUCUUGUUUGUCCUGGUGAAUGUCCCAAAAGAAAGCCCACAAAAAACAAAAGCACCAAAGGUUGCUUCAUUCUUUGAACUAGGGGGUUUUGGGGAAAACCUACCGUCCAGGUUACGUCAGUUCCGCCUAAGACUGGAGUUCCAAGGCCUGUGAUGGGAGGAGAAGACAAAUAUCAGACUCCUUCUCUGUUCUCACCGACUUGCAGACUCUGCAGGUUUAAGCCUCAUGAAGAAUCACUUUCUGCUGAUAUCUAGUGAGAAAGAAAAAAAAUGGAAACUUCUAUCAUUUUUUAUAUAUUCAUGGACAUUUGUAUUUGUAACUAUUUUGUUUUUAAAAAUAUUUUAUAUUCAUGAAAAUUAAUGUAAUAAAAGCCAAUCAAGAUAGUAUUUGCCCAGUUUGUGAUGUUUUUGAGGAUUUAAAGAAAUGUAAGACGUUUCUUGCGCCAUGGGGAACCUUUGGCUUCCUCAGUUUUUUCCUUUAUCCAUUGGUGUGCGUUUGUAUAAAAAUACGAUGAUAUCACCUAUAAGAAGCUUUUGUGUGUAUAUUAAACUACUUGAAUCUGACAUUAAAUUUCUUGGAUCUGGUUUUUUUUUCUGUAUGUUCUUCACUUUGAAAGCAAGUGUGUGUGUUUCUGGGGUCCUCAACAACAACUGGAGAUGCUUACAAAGCACUCUUUUUGCUAAGGACAUCUCCAAUGAUACUCUAUUUUGUCUUCUAUAAUUUACACUAAAAUGGAUUAACUCUAUUAUAACGUAACUUUUGCUCCAAUGGUGUUACCCUAUAAUAGAGUUAUUUAUCGAGUGAAAUAUAGAAGAAUGUCAUAUUUUACUCUAUAUUUGGAGAGGAAAAGUGACAUUCCUCUAUAUUUCACUCUAUAUUAUAUAGUAAGACCAUUGGAGCAAAAUUUACACUAUAAUAGAAUUACUCUAUUUUGGUGUAAAUUAUAAAAGAAAAAAUAGAACCCCAUUGGAGAUGGUCUAAGACUCAAUAACAAAAAAGAGAUUAAUUUUAAUAUGUUUUUUAACUUAAUAAUUAAACAACUUAGUACAAGAAAACGAAGCUUGCCUCUUGUCUAAAUCUAGGACUUGUGUAGCUUUUCUCUCUCAGCUAUGUUCCCUCUCUAAAACACUAUACAGAGGAGAGAGAAAGCUUUUGUUUUUGGUUCGCCGGAUAUUUUCCGGCCUAGUCUCCCGUUCAUUGGGCUGUCGACUCUGGGAAGAAGAAGCUUCUCUAGUUCUUCUUCACCGGCUUUUGUUUCCGGGAAGCAUUAGCUUCGAUUUCUCCGGUUUAUUUCGGGGUUUUUCCGGUUCCGUCCGAUCAAGACCUCUGGUGUUUCUCUGUUCAAUUGAUUCUCGAGUCUCGCAGGUUUUCCUUCGAUUGAUGUCGAUUGACUAUCCUUGUAGUGGUUUUGAUCUUAUCAGAUUUGGUUCCAUGACUUGAAUCUGAUUGAAGGCCGUUCGGUCUGAACGGUUUCUCUUUUGGUUCAGUUACGGAUUGAUGAAAGCUCUCCGGGUGUGGUUCUUAAAUUUGUUAGUCGUAGUUCUGGUGGCUCUGGAGGAGAUCUCGAGAUAGUCUCGAUGACGCUCUCUGGUGGAAAGAGUCCAUGCGAAAAAGUUGGGUGAGGUGGUUUCAGAAUUUCGUCUUCUCCGGCGAUGUCUUGUGAUGAUCAGUUGGUUCACUACUCAUGAUUUUUCUUCCAACUGGUUAUUUUGUGGAGUUAUUUCCAUGGAAUUUGGGACUGUUUUUUUUUUUUUCAUUUUCGUGGAGUUAUUUAUUUUUCUUCAAACAGAAUAUUGAAAAAGAGAAUGUACGAGCGAAGAAAUGUCUUUUGAAGAGAAAAUUCAUACACAAGUAGGGGAAAUAUAAUGCGAUAUAAUUUGAAAGAUGGAUACAAUACAAUAAAUAUAUCAAAUAAACUCAUACUUUAUUAUUCUCUUUUUUUAUAUUAUAAUCCCAAAUUUGAAAAAGGACUUAGCGCACAAGGCUCCAAAAAACACAGCUUCAAAAUGGUAAGGAAACAAAACCAAAUUAUUUAGGAACGUGCCAACAUCCAAACAAAACUUUGCUUGGUCGGUUCAUUAUUUCUCACUAAGCGGACGGCAUCAGAUUUAACAAUAUAUGCGCGUAUCUGAUUACAUCGUUUCCUGGAGGCUCCUCUGUAUGCUCUCCAUAUGUCAAUAAAAUGAUUGCCAUCCCUUAGAUAACAGUGCCAUACUAUCCUAUCGCCGCUGCCUCUCUCCCUAACCGGGAAGUUGUAUUUACCAUUGAAUUUUAUUUCUUGAACACUUAUAGUUUCCUUUUUGUUCGAUGUGCAGUUGACUUUGACACUACGAGGAGGUUCAAGUUGGUUUUGAAAUUCCACCAGAUUGCAUCCGGAAGUUCUUUUCGAACUAAAACACAUAACAGUUAUUAACAUAAAAGUAAUGAGAUUAUUCAUCUUUUUUUUUUUUUUUGAAGAUGCUAGAGACCCAAAGCGUAUUAUGUAU
rnacentral:lncRNA from 1 species